rnacentral:lncRNA from 1 species
CUAUUAUACAAGUCUAUUGGGAAUUCUGGUAAAAUUUGCCUUCUUUACUAAUAUAUUCCUGACGAUGCUCCAUUUCUUGAAACCCUUAGCAUUUGUUGAUUGUUUAAGCUCUCUGGGAAUUGAAUUGAAUGGGACCUUCCUAUUCCACUUUCCCAUGACCUGAACAAAGUGGUAAACUGUGUCCGUAAAAUUUUAAAUUCUUAACACUGAAAUUUUUACAAUACCUUGAAUAGCAGAUCUGAUAUUUUGAAAGUCUGCAAAUUCUUGUGUGAAGUUGCUGGGAGUAUGUAAGGAUUAAGUAGCCACCUGGGGUUGUGGUUGUUUUGCCUGAUAGAAGAAAUAUGAUUGAUGCCUUUUUCUUUGACUGUACAGCUUGGAAAUGAAGGGUGCUUCGACUUUGCUUAUGUCGAUUCGGACAAAGUUAAUAGCAAGAACUAUUGGCGUGAGCUGUCUAAUGAGAUAAGUAUAGAAAUCUGUAUGUAAAUCCCAUACUUCAAGGGAUGGACUUAUUUUUUGCCGUAAGAUAUGUAUAGGCUAGAAUAGAUUCCUAUGCUCUGAAUCUAUAUAGUAUUGUAUUCAACACACAAGGAAAUAAUGAAAAAGAGACUACCUUUUGACAUGGUAUCAGAGCACGUCCCUAGGACCUCUGCUCAGCCACUGUGACCGGAAAAAAACUCCGGAAGACCCACCUGGUAUCAUCUUCAUCUUCCUGGUCAGUUUCCAGCGCUGCUUCCCUCUGAUUCCUGCUACCUCACAGUGCUCCAGCCGGUUAUCCGUUAAUAUACAACAAAUCUUGUCAAACCAAAACCGACAAACUCCAUGGCGGAAUCUAAAGACAUAACACAACCUCUCAUUCCCCAGACCGAUUCCAUCCUUAGUGAUCUAACUACAAGAAUGACCGAGGUCCUGACUAGAGCCCAGACCUCCCCUCAACCUCUGCUUGCUAUUCGUCAACUACUCCGAUCGGUAUCAAGUUGGAAGGAUCCAACUAUGCCUUAUGGUCCCAGGUUGUCGAGAUGUAUAUCUCUGGCAAGGACAAGCUGGGAUAUAUCAAUGAAGAUUCUUCUCAGCCUCCAGAAACCGAUCCUUCAUUCAAGAGAUGGCGCACCGAAAACGCCAUUGUCAAGGAUGGUUGAUCAAUUCAAUGGACCCUUCCUUGAUUGCCAAUUUUAUCCGAUUCCCAACUGCAAAACAGGUUUGGGAUUCUGCUGCUAUAACCUAUUUUGAUCUCCGACGUCGGGUUACUCGUAUGAAGCAGGCGGGUGGAUCCAUUGAAAAAUACUACAACGACCUUCAAGGGCUGUGGCGAGAAAUCGAUUUUCGUCGUCCUAACCCGAUGGAGUGUGCUAUUGACAUACAGAAAUACAAUUCCAUUCUACAGGAAGAUCGAGUUUAUACUUUCUUUGAUGGACUAGAUGACAGAUUGGAUAAAACUCGGAGUGAUGUUCUACAAAUUAAACCAUUCCCUACGGUGGAACAGGCUUAUGCAUUUGUCCGUAGGGAAGAGGUCAGGCAGACCGUGAUGAUCUUGGGUGCAGAUACUCCUCCAGGAGCAGUUAUGGCUUCCAAAGGGAUCAAGGGCAGCCAUCACCAGAUGCCAUCGAAACCUGGAGCUCUCUUCCUAAGCAGCGGGAAAUCCAACUCCUCAUUCAAAACUAAACCACCAUCUGACGGCACGAAGUGUACCCAUUGCGACAACACCAAACACACCCGUGACACCUGCUUCAAACUACAUGGAUAUCCAGAUUGGUGGAAUGACCUUCAAGCACGGAAAAAAUGGGAAAUCAUUGCUAAUGAUAACCACACUAGGAGAGCUGUUGUGGUUACCUGUGAUGCUUCGUUAUCCCUCAUUCCUCAAGCUGAAUCUUCACAUGAUUCAGGUACUUCGAGUAAGGCUUUUCAUAUCUCUACUCACAAGGAUGAUGAGGACUGGAUUCUCGACUCUGGGGCUACAGACCACAUGACAUUUGAUUCAAAGGAUUUCUCUAAUACAACUUAGCCGAGACGGAGCUGUGUUGCAAAUGCUAAUGGGGUCACCUAUCCAGUUACAGGGGCUGGAACAGUGACUUUAUCUCCUUCCCUUUCAUUAUCUAAUACAUUACUUGUACCAUCUCUUUCAAAUAGACUGAUGUCUGUAAGCCAAGUUACUUCAGAUCUUAAUUGUGUGGUAUUGAUGUAUUCUACUUUUUGCCUUCUUCAGGAUAUUCUCACCAAGGAGAUAAUUGGGCGUGGUACUAAGAAGGGGGGGGGGGGGUUAUACUACGUGGAUGCCUUCAGUUCGGGAAGAGCAAAUCACAUGCACCACAAGGUUGGUAACAAGGAGAGGCAGAUUUGGUUAUGGCAUCAUCGACUUGGGCAUCCAUCAUUUGGGUAUUUGAAGCACUUACUACCUGGGUUAUUUUCAAAGGCAACACAUUUAGAUUUUAAAUGUGAUACUUGUAUCUUAGCCAAAAGUCAUAGGGCUUCUUAUCCCAUGAGCAUGAAUAAAAGUAUGAUUCCUUUUGAUUUAAUAUAUUCCGAUGUUUGGGGACCUUCACUAGUAACUACGUCUUCUAGUCAUCGUUGGUUUGUAAUAUUUGUUGAUGAUUGCACACGAAUGACAUGGCUUUACCUCCUAAAACACAAAGAUGAGGUAUUUUCUAUUUUUCAAUCAUUUCAUGCCAAUGUUCAGACACAAUUCUCUGCAAGAAUUAAGAUCCUUCGUUCUGACAAUGGAGGGGAAUAUGUUAAUCAACAAUUCCAGACAUACUUCAACAACCAUGGUAUUCUCCAUGAAACCUCAUGUUCACAAACCCCACAACAGAAUGGUAUUGCUGAAAGGAAAAAUAGGCAUAUCUUAGAAACUGCUCAUGCUCUAUUGAUCAAUGCACAUGUGCCGAAUAGAUAUUGGAGUGAUGCUGUUACCACAGCCGUGUAUCUACUGAACCGUAUGCCCACCAAAGUCUUACAAUUUCAGACUCCACUAAAGGUGCUUUCUUAUCAUGUCUCCUUACCAACUGUUUUGAUGAUUCAUCCCCGAAUUUUUGGUUAUGUUGCUUUUGUUCACCUCCAUAAAAAUCAACGAACUAAGUUGGACCCAUGUGCUGUCCGGUGUUUAUUCUUGGGGUAUGGAGUACAAAAAAAGGGAUACAGAUGCUACGAUCCCAUUGCUAAAAGAACUUACAUUACCAUGGAUGUAACUUGAAUUUGAUUUUUUUUUUCACCGAUAUCCAAUUCCCCUCUUCAGGGGGAGAUCUAUGGUGAAGAACGGAAUUGGUUUGAUGUUGAAGUGUUAGAAGUUAGUGACAAUCCAACACAUCCGAAUAAUGACAACGACUUGGUUGAACAUGAUCCCGUACCUAAACCUCUGAGAAUUGAAGCUGAACCAGUACCUGAAUCAUCGGAAGAUGCAGAAUCUGAUGUAUUCCCUCACUCUUUAGUACCCAACGACCCUCCUACUGAGAAUAUUCCUGAGGUAAGCUCUCCUACCACACCUUUACAAAAUAAUGCUAUAGAUACAUUUGCGGGUUAUGUUCUACCUUUCAGACACAAUCGAGGCAAGCCUCCAAAUCGAUACUCCCCAGACAUAGAAGAACGACGAUCCAAGUAUCCAAUAGCUAAUCAUGUGUCUACACAAAGAUUAUCUGAACCUCUUAGAGCUUUUGCACAUACACUCUCCUCAUGUCAGAUUCCGAGUAGGGUUGAAGAAGCUUUCUCGGAUCUGAAAUGGGCUCAAGCUAUAAAAGAAGAAUUGGAGGUGUUGCAGAAAAAUAAUACAUGGGUUUUGAGUGUGUUGCCGGAAGGGAGGAAGACAGUGGGGUGCAAGUGGAUUUUCUCUAUUAAAUAUAAAGCAGAUGGGUCGAUUGAUCGAUACAAGGCGAGGUUGGUAGCAAAGGGAUAUACACAGAAACAUGGUAUAGAUUAUUAGGAAACUUUCUCACUUGUAGCAAAACUAAAAACUGUUAGAGUUCUGUUAUCUCUUGCAGCAAACUUAGAUUGGCCAUUGCACCAACUUGACGUAAAAAAUGUCUUCCUCCAUGGUGAUCUUGAAGAGGAGAUUUACAUGGAUAUUCCACCAGGCUACACUGCUACAUCAGAGGCAAAGAUCACAUGUAGGUUACAACGAGCAUUGUAUGGACUAAAGCAAUCACCUCGAGCAUGGUUUGGCAGGUUGAGUUCGACAAUGAGGAAAUAUGGAUUUCAACAAAGCAACUCUGACCACACUCUCUUCCUAAAACAUCGAUUGGGAAAAAUAACAGCCCUCAUAGUCUAUGUAGACGACAUGAUAAUUACAGGGGAUGAUGUAGAAGAAAUAUCCAGGCUUCAAGAUCAAUUGUCAACUGAGUUUGAGAUGAAGAACUUAGGGGGGCUUAAAUAUUUUUUGGGCAUUGAAGUGGCAAGGUCAAGACAAGGCAUAUUUCUUUCCCAAAGGAAAUAUAUACUAGACUUGUUGGCAGAAGUGGGAUUACUAGAGUGUAAGCCUGCUGAUAUUCCAAUUGUCCAAAAUCAUAAACUUGGAGAAUAUGUAGACCAGGUACCAGCGGACAAACAGAGAUAUCAACGGUUAGUGGGUAAACUCAUCUAUUUAUCUCAUACUCGGCCAGACAUUGCUUAUGCUGUGAGUGUAGUGAGUCAAUUCAUGCACCGGCCGAGUGAAGGCCAUAUGGAUGCUGUAAUGCGAAUCCUUCGGUAUUUGAAGUCCUCUCCUGGGAAAGGGCUUAUGUUCUCAAAGAAUGGUCAUUUAAAGGUUGUUGGCUAUACAGAUGUGGACUGGGCAGGGAACAUCACAGAUAGGAAAUCCACUGCUGGGUACUUUACUUUUGUGGGAGGCAACCUAGUUACAUGGAGGAGCAAGAAACAGAAAGUAGUUGCCCUGUCUAGUGCUGAAGCUGAAUUUCGGGGAAUGGUCAAGGGAAUAUGUGAGCUCAUUUGGCUGAAAAAGCUAUUAGCUGAGAUCGGUGUUGCUCCUAGUUCCAAAAUGAACUUGUUCUGUGAUAACACAGCGGCCAUUGCUAUCUCCCACAAUCCGGUUCAACAUGAUCGCACUAAGUACGUUGAGGUGGAUCGGAACUUCAUCAAACAAAACCUUGAAGAAAAGAUUAUUCAGCUUCCAUUUGUCAAAUCAGAAGACCAGUUGGCUGAUGUACUCACAAAAGCAGUGUCUACAAGGAAUUUCUACAACUCACUUGACAAGUUGGGUAUAAAAGAUAUCUAUGCACCAACUUGAGGGGGAGUGUUGGCGUGAGCUGUCUAAUGAGAUAAGUAUAGAAAUCUGUAUGUAAAUCUCAUACUUCAAGGGAUGGCCUUAUUUUUUGCCGCAAGAUAUGUAUAGGCUAGAAUAGAUUCCUAUGCUCUGAAUCUAUAUAGUAUUGUAUUCAACACACAAGGAAAUAAUGAAAAAGAGACUACCUUUUGACAAGAACUACCAUGAGAGGCUAAUGAAACUGGUGAAGAUUGAUGGGGUGGUCGUGUGUGACAAUGUGUUUUGGAGGGGAUACAUUGCAAUGCUUGAAGAAUUGGUUAGCGGAUGGAAGUGGGAAGAAAGUCGGCAAUAGACCUUAACAAUCAUCUACCAACCGACCCAAAUUUUAUAAAUUUAGAAAAUAUUAGGUAGCGAUUCUAGAAAGCGUUUAUAACAUUUUUAAUAUUUGAAAUUUUUUAUCAUUGAAGUGUUAAAAAUGAUAGAAACCUUUCCUAAAAUCACUGUCAACACAUGUAAUAAUCUCGUAUUUUUAAUUAAAAAAUAACUUAUUUAUGGAAAGUAGGAAAUGUCCAUAACUCCAUUGAACUGAAUCUGGAAAAUUGAUUCCGAGUCCUGAAGCCUCCAGAGCACCUGGGUACUCUCUCUUUCGCUCAUAAAUGUAGAUUAUCAUUGGCUGAAUUUGCAUAAUUCUAAGUGGUUUUCUUCUUCUGAAUUCUGAUCUCUGAGCACUGAUCUGAAUUCUUAUGCAACUGAAGCAAUAUUAUUGACAUUCGUAGAUUGCUGAUAGAUCAUAGAAAAGGGUUUCGUUUUUGUGUUUAAUAUAAGUGCACUGCUUUGGAUAUUUAUUGAGGUUGAAGGUUGCAAUCAAUAGUUCAAAAUUCUGAUUUAUAGAAUAAGAAAGAAACCCUAAUUCUCGUUAGAGCAAUGCAAUUUAUUUGUAUCCUUCUCUCAAGAUUCACCUGCAGCCAUCGAUCUCAAUUUGAUACACCCUUUUAAGUGUUUGAUUUAUAUGUUCGUUUUUCAAAUUUGUACAUCACACAGGUUAGUUAAAGAAAGAUUGUUGUCAGAUUGAGUGAAAUGAGGGAUAUCGUUGCCCCAUAACUAGGGUUUAUAUAGAAAUGCUUGCCUGUUAAUGGGCCUUUGAGAUUUGAUCCACACUGGCUUUUUGGGGUUGCCGUGUUGGCCUCUGGUUACAUUCUAAAUGGCCUUCAUUGCUCAGGAAAUCAGUAGAUUUGACGCAAAAGCAUAUGUAUUGUCCAGAGGCACAACUAGACUUGUGUGUGAUAAGGUUUUCAGGCCUUUGUCAAUCAAGGGUAGAAAAUGGUUCAAUGGUUCUUAUUGUCAAUUACAAGCUUUGUGAAGAUAUAAGUGUAUUGCAUCAAAGCUAUUAUAUAAGUCUAUUGGGAAUUCUGGUAAAAUUUGCCUUCUUUACUAAUAUAUGCCUGACAAUGCUCCAUUUCUUGAAACCCUUAGCAUUUGUUGAUUGUUUAAGCUCUCUGGGAAUUGAAUUGAAUGGGACCUUCGUAUUCCACUUUCCCAUGUCCUGAACAAAGUGGUAAGGGGCUGUAAUUUUGUUCCAUAAAGAAUGUGAAUUUGAGUAGCGAAUGAUUGUUUGGCUUCAUAUCAAAGUAAGA